GGGGACCGCAUCAGCUCAUAGCGUAUAUUAAAGUUGCUGCAGUUAAAAAGCUCGUAGUUGAAUUUCGGGACCAUCAUGUCGGUCGUGCCUCGGUACGUACUGGUAUUGUUGGUUUCUCCCUUCUGACGAACCAUGAUGUCAUUUAUUUGGUGUUGUGGGGAAUCAGGACUGUUACUUUGAAAAAAUUAGAGUGUUUAAAGCAGGCC
rnacentral:rRNA from 1 species